AUCAGGUCGCAGUUCGCGGCCAGGCUGGCGUCGUCUUCGUUCCGAGGCGGCGAAUCCGGUCCGACGCCCGUCGAUAACCUGGCGUCACG
rnacentral:ncRNA from 1 species